CACUCCUACCGGGAGGCAGCAGUGGGGAAUUUUGGACAAUGGGCGAAAGCCUGAUCCAGCAAUGCCGCGUGAGUGAAGAAGGCCUUCGGGUUGUAAAGCUCUUUUGUCAGGGAAGAAACGGUGAGAGCUAAUAUCUCUUGCUAAUGACGGUACCUGAAGAAUAAGCACCGGCUAACUACGUGCCAGCAGCCGCGGUAAUACGUAGGGUGCAAGCGUUAAUCGGAAUUACUGGGCGUAAAGCGUGCGCAGGCGGUUUUGUAAGUCUGAUGUGAAAUCCCCGGGCUCAACCUGGGAAUUGCAUUGGAGACUGCAAGGCUAGAAUCUGGCAGAGGGGGGUAGAAUUCCACGUGUAGCAGUGAAAUGCGUAGAUAUGUGGAGGAACACCGAUGGCGAAGGCAGCCCCCUGGGUCAAGAUUGACGCUCAUGCACGAAAGCGUGGGGAGCAAACAGGAUUAGAAACCCCUGUAGUCCCA
rnacentral:rRNA from 1 species